GGGAGAGUCGCCAAACGGCUUGGCAACAGACUGUUAAUCUGUCAGCGUAGAACUUUGUUCUCAUGUGGGUUCGAGUCCCACCUCUCCCG
rnacentral:tRNA from 1 species